UAGCAUAUCAAUAAGCGGAGGAAAAGAAACUAACAAGGAUUCCCCUAGUAACUGCGAGUGAAGCGGGAAAAGCUCAAAUUUAAAAUCUGGCAGUCUCACUGUCCGAGUUGUAAUCUGGAGAAGCAUUUUCUGUGCUAGACCGUGUACAAGUCUCUUGGAAUAGAGCGUCAUAGAGGGUGAGAAUCCCGUCCAUGACACGGAUUACUAGUGCUUUGUGAUAUGCUCUCGAAGAGUCGAGUUGUUUGGGAAUGCAGCUCAAAAUGGGUGGUAAAUUCCAUCUAAAGCUAAAUAUUGGCGAGAGACCGAUAGCGAACAAGUACCGUGAGGGAAAGAUGAAAAGCACUUUGGAAAGAGAGUUAAACAGUACGUGAAAUUGUUGAAAGGGAAACGCUUGAAGUCAGUCGCGUUGUCUGAGACUCAGCCUUGCUUGCAUGGUGUACUUCUCAGUUAACGGGUCAACAUCAAUUUCAGUUGGUGGAUAAAGGCAUUGGGAAUGUGGCACCUUCGGGUGUGUUAUAGCCCUUUGUUGCAUACACUGACCGGGAUUGAGGAACGCAGCACGCCACUAAGGCCAGGGGUUCGCCCCAUGUAACGUGCUUAGGAUGUUGGCAUAAUGGCUUUAAGCGACCCGUCUUGAAACACGGACCAAGGAGUCUAACAUGCCUGCGAGUAUUAGGGUGGAAAACCCUUGUGCGUAAUGAAAGUGAAAGUUGGGACCUCUUUGAGGGCACCGACGCCUGGCCCUGAAGUUUACUGACGGCGCUACGGUAGAGCAUGUAUGUUGGGACCCGAAAGAUGGUGAACUAUGCCUGAAUAGGGUGAAGCCAGGGGAAACUCUGGUGGAGGCUCGUAGCGAUUCUGACGUGCAAAUCGAUCGUCAAAUUUGGGUAUAGGGGCGAAAGACUAAUCGAACCAUCUAGUAGCUGGU
rnacentral:rRNA from 1 species